CUUAUGUGAUCUACGCCAGCUGGGUCGCUGCUCAGUGGCUGCUGGAACAGAAGACCGCCGUCCUCCGGCAAGGCUGAUGGCAACUGGACCAGCAAAACGGUCUCAGGCUCAUGGACUCUUUAAACCUGUCUUCCUGGGGUGGAAACCUCGUACAGACUGAGACCAGACAGACCUGUAGAGACCAGGACCGUACUGUUAACACCUCGCGCCUCCAGAAGCUUCCAGCUUGACGGGGUCUGAACAGAAACAGUGGCACCUCGGUUGGGUUUGGGCACAACAGGAAUGUUUCUUUUGUUGGUGUUAGGACUAAAGGUUGAGGUCCAGUUUGCACCAAAGGGACCGGAUGAGAACAUGAAGCAUGUUUCAUACCCCUAGUUUGGUUCAGUGUGUGUGUGAACUAUUGUCUUUUAGACCCGUUCUGGUUCGUGUUCAUCACCACCACCUGCAAACAUGAAGUCACUGACUGGUUUUAUGGUUUAACUCCUCUCCUAACCCACGGCUGCUAUUCAGCGAGAGCUGUUACUGCCGAUGGACAAAAUACCAGCAACGUCUCUCAGUACAGCCCAGUCCAGCUGAACAGCAGCCUCCACCGCGACCACAUGCUCCAACUGAAUUGUCCUGGAAAUGGUUUUAUUUUUCAAGCUGCAAUAAAAAAAAAAA